rnacentral:lncRNA from 1 species
UGGUUGAUCAAUAUUUUAUUAUAAACAUUCCUAAUGAAGGAAAAAAUAUAAAAACUGAUUAUAUGUGUCUAUAAAUAAAAUAUUUGGUAGCAAAAAACAUAAAAACAAUUAACUUUUUUAAUCAUUUUUGUUCUAAAUUUUUAAAACGAAAAAAUCCAUUAAAGAAGCAUACCUUUUCUGUUUUCAACAAUAAACCAAUUUGAAAAAUCAGAGGUAUCAAAAUAAAUUUCUUUACUUGCAUAACCUGUACAUUGUACCUCCAUAUUACUAUUUAAGAGAACUGUUUAAUAAAACAAUGUUUUAACUUCUGAUCGAAGCAUGAAUACGAGCCUCAAAUCAUCACAAAACUAAAUGCUUAAGGAGGCUAAUUAUGCUAAAGUACGCUAAUUAUGCAACAGCAUACUAAAGAUCAAUGGUAUAACAAAUGUUCUUCUUCAUAAAGCAAUUAGAAAACUCAAUAUUUAACUUUUCAAGUCUCUUUCUGCAAGGUUUUUUACAUGGACUGGUUCAUAUUCACUUAGGCGUUUCCUGUAAUCACCGACCAGGGAAUGAUGGGAGGUAAAUGGUUUACAAAAUGUGCUUCUCAAUCCUAUUGAACAGUUUAGAACAGCCCUUAUCAUUAAUUCUUCUAGAAAAUAUCAAUGUAGUUUGAAAAAAUAGAAAAUAUAAUAAAAUUGAUCAGGAGUUAUCUCCCAUAGGCCUAGGUCUAUGAAUUAGAAAUGUAAUUUCUCCAGGUCUUAGUGCCUUCCAAAAAACUUAAUGUUUUGUCAAUGAUACAAAUGUUUAUAAUUAUAAUGUUACCUUAUUUUAAUGAGUAUACAUGUGUUUUUAUUUAAAUCAUUCUAAUCAUUUACUGUGCUUUAUUUUGUAAUUCAUUUGAUUGUAUAGCUCAAUUUUUGGGAAACAUGAUUGGUAAAUAAAAUAUCUUGUAUGUUGUAUCUCUUAAUAUAUUCAAACAUGAAUCCAUAUAUUAUAAGCAAUGAAAUAUAAAUCACAAUUUGUUAAUGGAAAUUAACUUGAUUCUUAAAAUGCAGCUCUACUAAUUUAUAAGACAAAUACCCAUCAGAGUAAAGGUUACCAGUCCUCCUACAAGGACAAAACCUAGCUAUUCACAGUCUUCACGAUGAACUAUUAAAUCUACAGGCCCGGAGCUCAACUUUCAAUUUUUUUUAGUUAGAUUCUGUUGGCCUGUAGAUAUAAUUUUUACAGGCCCGAGAGCAAUUUUACUAGCCUUGGCUGCCUGGGCUGCCACUCAGCGUGAAGACUGUAUUCAUAAAACUGGUUUCUGUUGUAACUACACAUCAACUAGAUCUAUAAUGUAUCAAUUCAGUGUACAUUUACAUACAAAAAACAACUUUGAAUAGAAUGGCACGAGAAAAGAGUAAUAAAUUUAGUUGCACAAAAUGCAGUUUCAACAAAGGAAGGACCAAUUAUUUAACAUAAUGAAAUGAUAUGUCUUGCCCAUUUACUUUAUAAACAUAUGUCCUGACAAUUUUCUUCUUUUUUGUUUUGUUGGUUAGGACUUUACAAGUAUAUAAAAAUUAACAUGACCUGACUUGAAGUAUAAAAUAUAUAUGUUAUAUAAAAUGUGUAAAUCAACAGGUAUAUUAUAUGUAUAUUGAACACUACUUAGUCUACCCGUCACCUAUAUUAAAAAAUGUUCUGACUAAAUGCCAAUGAAAAGCAAAUUAAAACAUUGGAAAUAUACCAUGUACAUUUGAUAUGUUUAAAUUAUCUAAAACAAAAUUUACUUCCUAGGAGACAGCAUGGAUAUAUAAAUGUCAGGUUUUACAAAACCUUAACCCUGUCAUUACAAUAACAUACAUGUAUUGUUGAAGGCAGUACAGUGACCUAUAGUUGUUAAUUUCUGUGUCAUUUUGGUCUCUUGUGGAGAGUUGUCUCAUUGGCAAUCAUAUCACAUAUCUUCUUUUUAUAUGUAAACAUGAUCUGAAUAGAAGGCUAUAAAAAAAUUGAACAGAAACUACAAGAUGUAAGUAUUAUGUCCAUGUAUGUACGGUAAUAUAAUGUGUACAUUGAACAUGUAUGAAAAUAUUCCCUUUAACAUUCUUAGUUCAUGUACCUG